ensembl:lncRNA
GGGAAAUGCAACCUUACUGAGCAUAAGACUUAAAUAAAUAAAUAAAUAAAUAAAUAAAUAAAUAAAUAAAUAAAAACAUAUAAAUUACUCAAAACUUUUGACCUAUAGUAUAUAAUCAGCUGAUAAUACUAUGGGACUUUUAUAUACACCAAAUUAAUUCAUGAACGAUAAUAUUUACAUGGUAGCCUACGCCUAGGUAAAUGCCCCAAAACUUCUUACCGCCAUGUUAACGUACGGUUAAAGUGCUUUUCUAUAGCGCUAGUGUUUUGUUAUUCUCUGCUGGACGGGUUGUUAUUCUCUGCGGAUGGGUUGACAUGCUGCACGCACAGGUGUUUAUGUAAACGUUCUUCAUCGGUGACAAACGGAUGUAGUUUGGUUGUAGGUGAGUGCUGUGGAUGAACAGGUGAGGAGUGUGCCUUCGAGGCUCAGAGACCUGGCUGACGGCCUAAUGCUGGGAGGCACGAGGAAGAAAUGGACAGCAGAGAGGGCGUUGGUGAAGUGUUAUGAAGAGCACACCCAUUGUCUCAUUCCAUAUAAGUUAAUAAGUCCCUUUCCAUCCUCUGAAAUGGCAGUGAAGCACUGAAAGAAACAGCUCAAGUGGAACAGCAUGGACCCGAGGCAUGUCAAAUGCAACUAACAAGUCAGCAAAAUAGGCGAUCCCUGUCCCUGUGGUGAGAACCGGCUACUUUGAUUUGUUCUAUAAUUUGGAGCUCCUGCAAAGGAUUAAUAGGCCCAGAGUCGUUGUAAAGGGUUGAGACAUGGCCUCUGCGUCCAAGACUGACAUCAUAGACACAAGUUAUUGUUCCCAUGCAGGCUGCAAAAUGAACCUUUUUGCCACACCUAACGACAAGUAAAUGGAGACUUUGGCAUAUGUUUUAAGCGACCAUGAAUCUGUAUUUUGAAUAAUUUUGGUUCAAUGACAAUGGAAUAAUUAACUGUUUUGUUUUGCUUUUUUUCAGUAAUGAGUCACUGAGUUGUUUCGCCACUGUGAUCGAAUGCAUUUGGAAGAAUGUGUUUCCUACAAUACUUUUUCAAAGGGCCAUACCACCGCUACUGAAUCUACAGCGUGAAACAGUGUAGUCCAAUAUAGAAUGAACGACUCUGUCAGUAGGUUAGUUGUGUUUAGGUUUAUACUGUUUUACUUCAUUGUUGUAUGUCUGUAUUUAUGUAGCACCGUGGUCCUGUGAGGCACGACAUUUCGUUCCACUGUAUGUCCCCACAUGUAGCAGAAUGACAAUGAAGCUCAACUUGUCUUGACUUGACUUAUGAUAUGGUUCUUUUUAGUGAAUCAAACACACAUACAGCAAGACCAGUGUAGUCCAAAUCCUGAAUAAAUUACUCAUAUGAGCCUAUUUAUUUUAAUGG